CCGCGUUCCGGUUGCGGAUGGUGAGUGUGUCGGGGGGCUUGGCGGCUUUUCUCCUCAGUUUUCUGGAGUGCUUUGGAGGAGAGAAUACUUUCAUCACUCCAAAGAAAAAUCCUGCCUCCAGUAGCAGUCAUUCUACAUUCACCACGUCCACUCCGCCUCAAGUCCUAGACAAUUGCUAGUAUACUUUCUGUCUGUAUAGCCUUGCCAAUUCGCACGUUUGAUAUAAAUGAAAUCAUACAGUGCAGCUGGCUUCUUUCAUUAAGUAUAAUGUCAAUGUUUUUGUGACUAGCUUCUUUCAUGACUUUUGUUCUUUUUUUAAACGGAGUCUCAUGACUCUCACUCUGUAGCCCAGGCUGGAGUAUAGUGGCACGAUCUUGGCUCACUGCAACCUCUGCUGCCCAGGUUCAAGCUAGUCUCCUGCCUGAGCCUCCCGAGUAGCUGGGACUACAGGCGCCUGCCACCACGUUCGACUAAUUUUUGUAUUUUUAGUAGAGACGAGGUUUCACCAUCUUGGCCAGGCUGGUCUUGAACUCCUCAGCUCUUGAUCAACCUGCCUCAGCCUCUCAAAGUGCUGAGAUUACAGGUGUGAGCCACCACGCCCGGCUAUCUUCUUAUACUAUGUAUAAUAUUUUCAAAGCUUGUCUUUGUAUCAUGUGUCAGACUGUUAGCAAAUAAAUAAAACUCUGUAAACUAUUUUAAAGCGGUUUAUUCUGAGCCAGUAUGAUUGACCAUCGCCCAGAGAGAAAAC
rnacentral:lncRNA from 10 species